GAUGAACGCUGGCGGCGUGCCUAAUACAUGCAAGUCGAGCGAACAGACGAGGAGCUUGCUCCUCUGACGUUAGCGGCGGACGGGUGAGUAACACGUGGAUAACCUACCUAUAAGACUGGGAUAACUUCGGGAAACCGGAGCUAAUACCGGAUAAUAUCUUGAACCGCAUGGUUCAAUAGUGAAAGACGGUUUUGCUGUCACUUAUAGAUGGAUCCGCGCCGCAUUAGCUAGUUGGUAAGGUAACGGCUUACCAAGGCAACGAUGCGUAGCCGAACUGAGAGGGUGAUCGGCCACACUGGAACUGAGACACGGUCCAGACUCCUACGGGAGGCAGCAGUAGGGAAUCUUCCGCAAUGGGCGGAAGCCUGACGGAGCAACGCCGCGUGAGUGAUGAAGGUCUUCGGAUCGUAAAACUCUGUUAUUAGGGAAGAACAAAUGUGGAAGUAACUAUGCACGUCUUGACGGUACCUAAUCAGAAAGCCACGGCUAACUACGUG
rnacentral:rRNA from 1 species